UACGGGGGGAGCAAGCGUUGUUCGGAUUUACUGGGCGUAAAGGGCGCGUAGGCGGUCAGCACAAGUCAGUUGUGAAAUCUCCGGGCUUAACUCGGAAAGGUCAACUGAUACUGUGCGACUAGAGUGCAGAAGGGGCAACUGGAAUUCUCGGUGUAGCAGUGAAAUGCGUAGAUAUCGAGAGGAACACCAGUGGCGAAGGCGAGUCUCUGGACGACUCCUGACACUGAGGCACGAAAGCCAGGGGAGCAAACAGG
rnacentral:rRNA from 1 species